AAUGCAAAUUAUCUCCUUUCCAUCAGACUAAGUCAUGUUUUUGUUACUUUAAACCCACCUGCUGUCGAUUUUUUUCCCCACCUGAUAAUGCACCAAUAAGAUUAUCCUCCGUUCAGUGAGCUCACAUUUACAACAUUUUUCCCGCAAGGAAUUAAAUAAAAACCAAAAUGACUGAAAUGUUCGGUUUCCGGUAGUAGCCAUCUGCGAGUCAACGGUUGGCUAGCUGACUGUACGCUACUUUCCCAGCCGCGAGGUGGCCAUAAAGAAGAUCUCGGCAUUGAUCCUGUAACCGUGUUUCUGCUGUAUGUGGGUCCGGAGCAGGCUGGGCGUUUUGAAGGAGGCCAGACAGCUGCCUUUUACUGCCCCAGGGGGUAAUAAACAGUGAGGGAGGGGUAGUUAUUUACCCCUUUUAUUAGGGCAGGAGGCAGAGGAGGGGACUUUAUUGGGGUCACACUGUAACUACACACAGCUGCAGGGCAAGA